rnacentral:lncRNA from 1 species
UUAAGAGGCGGGGCGUAGUUGGAGGAAGUGAGGUCAUGGGGGUGUGGCCUUGGAGGGAAUAUUGAGACUUGGGGCUCCUUCCUGUUUCUCUGAUUCCCUGCCUCUGUGAGGUCAACAGGCUUUUCUGCUGUGAUGUGCUCCUUCUUUGAUGUACUGUGUUACUACAGGCCCAAAGCAAUAGGGCCAGAUCGAGUGGUUUUAUAGACUGAAACUCUGAAAUCAUGAGCCAAAAUGAACUUUUUUUUCCUUUUAAGUUGCUCAUCUCAGGUGUUCUGUCAUAGCAAAAGGAAGCUGACCAACACAGCCUAUGUAAAGUGUCUGUCAUAGAAAGGUGUCAGCAGAUACUUCACUGACAUUGCUGACCGGUUGCUGACGCAGCCCAGUCCUCAGCUCCACCUUUGGCAGCUUCUUCCAUCUCAGACUUCUCCUGGUGAUGGUCCACUUGCAGGGAGCACCCUCUGCACUUUGCAUUAACACUCACCCUUUGUACUGUUCUGGAUUUUUCUUCUGAGCUGGCCUUGGAUCCUACCACUGACUGCCCUGACACUGGCUUCCUGUGUUGGAUGGAGUGUCUGCUGUGCUGGAGAAGAAGAGAGUGAAACGGAAGUGGAGUGUGUGUCAUCUCCUUUGUCCUCAGUUAUUGUCCCAGGCUGUGAGCAAUGGCGGUGGAACCACGGAGCUAAAUCCCACCCCCCCAUCUUUCAGCUGCACGGCCCCCAGCAACUGCAUUCACCAUACUUUUUUCCUGCGCUUCCUAAAGACACUCCGACGGAGCACUUCCAGAACUGA